CCCUUUCCUUCGAUGCUUUCGAAUCAGCAAAGUAUUUUUUCAUCAAUUGUCGGACCUCUUGUGGACAUUUCUGACACAUGGACACAUCAGGAUAACUACCAGCUAGGUGCUGCUUCAACCUAGUCACCCCUCCUCUCUUGAACUCUGUGUUGCACCAUUUGUAUCUCCAAUGAUAUCGAGCUGAGAGUAUCUUGUCAUGAUCCCAAUUGAUGUCAUGCUCUGGAUCUUUCUUCUUACUCAUUUCUGCA
rnacentral:lncRNA from 1 species